rnacentral:rRNA from 1 species
CUUAGUAACGGCGAGUGAACCGGGAAAAGCUCAAAUUUGUAAUCUGGCUGUCUUCGAUAGUCCGAGUUGUAAUCUAUAGACGUGUUUUCCGUGCUGGACCGUAUCUAAGUCCCUUGGAACAGGGUAUCAAAGAGGGUGACAAUCCCGUGCUUGAUACGACCACCAGUGCUCUGUGAUACACGCUCUACGAGUCGAGUUGUUUGGGAAUGCAGCUCAAAAUGGGUGGUAAAUUCCAUCUAAAGCUAAAUAUUGGCGAGAGACCGAUAGCGAACAAGUACCGUGAGGGAAAGAUGAAAAGCACUUUGGAAAGAGAGUUAAACAGUACGUGAAAUUGUUGAAAGGGAAACGAUUGAAGUCAGUCGUGUUCUUUGGAUUCAGCUAGUUCUUCUAGUCUACUUCCUUUGAACGGGUCAACAUCAGUUUUGUCCGGUGGAUAAAGAUAGUAGGAAUGUAGCUCCCUCGGGAGUGUUAUAGACUAUUAUUGCAUGCACUGGGUGAGACUGAGGACUGCAGCUCGCCUUUUGGCCGGCCUUCGGGUACGUUCGAGCUUAGGAUGUUGA